rnacentral:rRNA from 1 species
GACGUAGGGGGCGAGCGUUGUCCGGAUUUAUUGGGCGUAAAGCGUGCGUAGGCGGCUGCGCAAGUCGGUUGUGAAACCCCGGGGCUCAACCCCGUAACUGCAUCCGAUACUGCGUGGCUAGAGGUAGGUAGGGGAGAUCGGAAUUCCUGGUGUAGCGGUGAAAUGCGCAGAUAUCAGGAGGAACACCGGUGGCGAAGGCGGAUCUCUGGGCCUUACCUGACGCUCAGGCACGAAAGCUAGGGGAGCGAACAGG